CCAUCCAAAUCACACAACCGAAAAGCCAUUUUUUCCCCACCCGGACACCUCUCUCCCCCUGAUUCCUCUGUCUCUCUCGCACCACAGCGUUGUCGCCGCCAACUCCGAUCCCAGGAAGCUCCAGCGGACUCCAACCCACUGCUCACCGUUCUGCCCCACUCCAUCUAUGUUCUCCUCUGGUCCUUCGCCUGAGGCCACCGCGCCCCUGCACGCGUGGCACGCAACAACCCUAGCCGCCACGCGUCGCCGGCGUGGCUCCGGCAGCUCCGGUUUAUCGACCCACUACCCCUGCGGCCCUGCCUCACCUCACGCGCGGCAGCACGCUCGAGCUUGACGUUGGUAUUCCGCCUCUUCUACCUCAACUCCGGUGUUGACGUUUCUGGUUCUGGUGUUUACACGCUCGAGCUUGACGUUGAUCGAUGUACAACACUUAUGCAUUACAAUCAGGAGAAAUCCAUGCAGAAGAAGCCUGAAGAAUUAUUCAAGUUAUUUGUUUAUAGCAUGGUGGGGAUCCUUUCGCUAGUUCAUGUUACAGUAAGGAAAACAUGAAUUUGUAUCUUAUUCUUUUUUUUGGUUGAUGUAAUAUUUGUUUUCCCCUGGCAAAAAGUUAUAUUAGUUUCAGUUUCUUAUUCAGUUAAAAUGUGCACACUACAAUCUCGAAGUUUAUGCAAAAGCUCAGAUGGAAAUCAUUCUUACACUCAUGUUAUCCAAUAUAAAUUGUUAAAUAAUUGAAAAAAUUUGAAGGUGCGUAAAAACAUCAUACCUUGGUAUUCUCGUCACAUGUAUAUGACUCAUAUUGUUGAAAUCUCACCUCUAAAUCGAGUUUAGUGCUCUUUUUUGGAAAUAUAGGUACUUCUGAAUUCCUGCAAUCUCUGUACUAAUUUUGUAUUUCGUGGGGAGCCACAGAUAUUUCCAAAUACUAUAAUGAUGCAUGAUUGGUCAGCACACAAACUCUUGGCCAAGUUCCUCUCACAUCUUAUCUUGUUUGUAAUAUAUUUUUAAACUGUUAACACGAUGAGCAUGUACUUGUUUCAUCCAAGAACGUAAACAUGAAAAGUAUUCCUCUUGUGCACUCUCCUUCCCUGACAUACAGGGCACACUACGGUGGUUGGAUGAUACAACCAUAAACAGACAGCUAAGCGAUCAGAUGCGGCGACUGUGCGAGUGUGUCAGGUAUGUCGAAUUCACUGAUCCCAAACUAUUGGAUCUGACUAGGAUCUCCUCUUCUCUGUAAUACUUAGGACCUUCUCCUCUACCUACUCGGGCCAACAGUUUCAGCAUCCAGCAACCAUGGUGACAAAGAUGAACGUACUGGAACUGCUCUAAGUUUCAACAUUCUCGGUUACAGAGGCUCGAUUGUUCCAAGUCGAUGUUGUUGGCGCUAAAACAUAAAAGACUACUAGUGCCAAGCUGGAUUUACUAGGAGAUUGCAAUAUUCGAUGACGCAUGGCUCAGAUGUUGGUUGCAAGGCAAGAAUAGGGGUGCUACUAGAUAGUUUCACAUUAUGCCUUAGAAUGCCAUUUCCAGUGCCAAUGUUUCAAUCAUUAUGUUUCGGAUAUUUUUGGUGUCAAUAUUUCGAUCAUUAUGUUUCAGAAUGGCUGACACGUUGGCUGCAAGGUCAAGAAUGGGAUUACUACUAGUUUCACAUCUUGUAAUUUUUGUAUGGUGUACUUUGUAAUGCAACCAAGUUGAUUUAAUAUAUGAGAAAUUUCUGUUUA